UUCCCUGUGGCUCAGUUUGUAGAGCAUGGUGUUUGCAACGCCAGCAUGGUGUGCGCAACGCCAGGUUUGUGGGUUCGAUUCCCACAAGGGGCA
rfam:Salmo salar isolate Sally breed double haploid chromosome ssa01, whole genome shotgun sequence.